UACGUAGGGUGCGAGCGUUAAUCGGAAUUACUGGGCGUAAAGCGUGCGCAGGCGGUUUUGUAAGCCAGAUGUGAAAGCCCCGGGCUUAACCUGGGAAUGGCAUUUGGGACUGCAAGGCUGGAGUGUGGCAGAGGAGACUGGAAUUCCUGGUGUAGCAGUGAGAUGCGUAGAUAUCAGGAGGAACACCGAUGGCGAAGGCAGGUCUCUGGGCUGACACUGACGCUCAUGCACGAAAGCGUGGGGAGCAAACAGG
rnacentral:rRNA from 1 species